GUCCACGCCGUAACUAUGAUUACUCGUUUCAGCGAUAUACGGUUGGAGACUAAGCGAAGUGAUAAGUAAUCCACCUGGGGAGUACGAUCGCAAGGUUGAAACUCAAAGGAAUUGACGGGGCCCGCACAAGCGGUGGAGCAUGUGGUUUAAUUCGAUGAUACGCGAGGAACCUUACCAGGGCUUAAAUGUAGAGGGAAUUCAGUGGAAACAUUGGAGUCUUCGGACCGUCUACAAGGUGCUGCAUGGGCUGUCGU
rnacentral:rRNA from 1 species